UGGCAGUGAUGACUCGGAAAUUUC
rnacentral:snRNA from 1 species